rnacentral:rRNA from 1 species
AAUCAACGCUGGCGGCGUGCCUCAGACAUGCAAGUCGAACGCGAAAGGUUCCUUCGGGGACCGAGUAGAGUGGCGCACGGGUGAGUAACACGUAGGUAAUUUGCCUUUGGGUGGGGAAUAACUCAGGGAAACUUGAGCUAAUACCGCAUAAAUGCAGCGGCUCGACAUCGAGACAGUUGUAAAGCGGGGGAUUCGCAAGAACCUCGCGCCUAAAGAGAAGCCUGCGGCAGAUAGCUAGUUGGUAA